rnacentral:rRNA from 1 species
UACGUAGGGUGCAAGCGUUGUCCGGAAUUAUUGGGCGUAAAGAGCUCGUAGGCGGUUUGUCGCGUCUGCUGUGAAAACUCGGGGCUUAACCCCGGGCCUGCAGUGGGUACGGGCAGACUAGAGUGCGGUAGGGGAGACUGGAAUUCCUGGUGUAGCGGUGAAAUGCGCAGAUAUCAGGAGGAACACCAGUGGCGAAGGCGGCUCACUGGCCCGAUACUGACGCUGAGGCACGAAAGCGUGGGGAGCAAACAGG